rnacentral:rRNA from 1 species
UGAGGAAUAUUGCACAAUGGGCGCAAGCCUGAUGCAGCGACGCCGCGUGGGUGAUGAAGGUCUUCGGAUCGUAAAGCCCUUUUUCUGCGUGACGAGACAGGACGGUAGCGCAGGAAUAAGUCUCGGCUAACUACGUGCCAGCAGCCGCGGUAAAACGUAGGAGACAAACGUUAUCCGGAGUUACUGGGCGUAAAGGGCGUGUAGGCGGUAUGUUAAGUCUGGCGUGAAAGCUCUCGGCUAAACCGGGAGAGGUCGUUGGAUACUGGCAAACUAGAGGAUGGUAGAGGCGUGUGGAAUUCCGGGUGUAGUGGUGAAAUGCGUAGAGAUCCGGAGGAACACCAGUGGCGAAGGCGACACGCUGGGCCAUACCUGACGCUAAAGCGCGACAGCAUGGGGAGCAAACGGGAUUAGAUACCCCGGUAGUCCCUGAGCGGGCUGGCAAGGCGCAU